GUCUUUUUGAUUAUAAUUUAAAGUCUGGUCUGCCCACUGAUAUAAAUUAAAGGGCUGCAGUAUUUUGACUGUACAAAGGUAGCAUAAUCAUUAGUCUCUUAAUUGGUGACUUGUAUGAAAGAUUUGAUGAAAUAUAAACUGUCUCUUUAUAAUUUAUAAAAUUUAAUUUUUUAGUAAAAAAGCUAAAAUAAUUUUAAAAGACGAGAAGACCCUAUAGAGUUUUAUAAUUUGUUUAAUUUUUAAUUUUUUAUUAAUUUUAUUUUAUUAAAAAUUAAAUUAAUUAUUUUGUUGGGGUGAUAGAAAAAUUUGAUAAACUUUUUUUAAAAUAAAUAAACAUUUAUAAAUGAUAAUAUGAUCCGAUUUUAUCGAUUAAAAGAUUAAAUUACCUUAGGGAUAACAGCGUAAUUUUUUUUUUUAGUUCAAAUAAGAAGAAAAGUUUGCGACCUCGAUGUUGGAUUAAGAUAAAAUUUAAAUGCAAAAGUUUAAAAUUUUGAUCUGUUCGAUCAUUAAAAUCUUACA
rnacentral:rRNA from 1 species